CUGAAGUACAGAAUCAUUGUGAUAGCUACGAGUGUUCCAGGUUGACUGAACAGUUCAGUCUGCUACAUCCUUCUCAAACAGUUCAUGGUUAUGAUAUUUCAGUUCAGUGUGGAACAGUCUUGUAUUAGCUGAAGUACAGAAUCAUUGUGAUAGCUACGAGUGUUCCAGGUUGACUGAGCAGUUCAGUCUGCUACAUCCUUCUCAAACAGUUCAUGUAUAUGAGGUUUCAUUAUAUAAUAUAAGAUAUUAAAACCAAAUAUUGAGUUUUACCUUCAGUCAUGGUUCUGUCCCUCUUUGCCAAUUUUUUGUCAAAUGUCACCAGCUCUUUCAGCUCCUCUGCCUGCGUUGAACCAGCUCUUUCAGGUCCUCUGCCUGCGUUGAACCAGCUCUUUCAGGUCCCCUGCCUGCGUUGAACCAGCUCUUUCAGCUCCUCUGCCUGCGUUGAACCAGCUCUUUCAGCUCCUCUGCCUGCAUUGAACCAGCUCUUUCAGCUCCCUCUGCCUGCCUUGAACCAGCUCUUUCAGGUCCCCUGCCUGCGUUGAACCAGCUCUUUCAGGUCCCCUGCCUGCGUUGAACCAGCUCUUUCAGGUCCUCUGCCUGUGUUGAACCAGCUCUUUCAGGUCCUCUGCCUGCGUUGAACCAGCUCUUUCAGGUCCUCUGCCUGCGUUGAACCAGCUCUUUCAGCUCCUCUGCCUGCGUUGAACCAGCAGUCUGAGUACUGAAGUUUUCUCACAAACAAAGAAAGGAAUAUCCUGUGCAUCUGGCAGAAUGGAGGGGAGGUUCCUGCUUCCCUGGAUUGUCUACAGUUCUGACAAACAUGGCCUGUGUCCCAAACGGUACCUUAUUCCCUUUAUAGUCUGCUACUGUAGAGCAGGGCCCUAGUGCACUAUAU
ensembl:lncRNA